ACUAACAGGAUUCCCCUAGUAACUGCGAGUGAAGCGGGAAAAGCUCAAAUUUAAAAUCUGGCGGUCUCUGGCCGUCCGAGUUGUAAUCUAGAGAAGUAAUGCCCGUGCUGGACCGUGUAUAAGUCUCCUGGGAUGGGGCGUCAUAGAGGGUGAGAAUCCCGUCUUUGACACGGACUACCAGUGCAUUGUGGUAUGCUCUCAAAGAGUCGAGUUGUUUGGGAAUGCAGCUCAAAAUGGGUGGUAAAUUCCAUCUAAAGCUAAAUAUUGGCGAGAGACCGAUAGCGAACAAGUACCGUGAGGGAAAGAUGAAAAGAACUUUGGAAAGAGAGUUAAACAGUACGUGAAAUUGCUGAAAGGGAAACGCUUGAAGUCAGUCGCGUUGGCCAGGGAUCAGCCUUGCAUUUGCAUGGUGUACUUUCUGGUUGACGGGUCAGCAUCAAUUUUGACCGCUGGAAAAGGUCCUGGGGAAUGUGGCAGCUCCGGCUGUGUUAUAGCCCCUGGUCGCAUACAGUGGUUGGGAUUGAGGAACUCAGCACGCCGCAAGGCCGGGUUUCGACCACGUCCGUGCUUAGGAUGCUGGCAUAAUGGCUUUAAGCGACCCGUCUUGAAACACGGACCAAGGAGUCUAACAUGCCUGCGAGUAUUUGGGUGGAAAACCCGAGUGCGCAAUGAAAGUGAAAGUUGAGAUCCCUGUCGUGGGGAGCAUCGACGCCCGGACCAGAACUUUUGGGACGGAUCCGCGGUGGAGCAUGUAUGUUGGGACCCGAAAGAUGGUGAACUAUGCCUGAAUAGGGUGAAGCCAGAGGAAACUCUGGUGGAGGCUCGUAGCGAUUCUGACGUGCAAAUCGAUCGUCAAAUUUGGGUAUAGG
rnacentral:rRNA from 1 species